UACGUAGGGUGCGAGCGUUAAUCGGAAUUACUGGGCGUGAAGCGUGCGCAGGCGGCUUUGCAAGACAGAUGUGAAAUCCCCGGGCUCAACCUGGGAACUGCAUUUGUGACUGCAAGGCUAGAGUACGGCAGAGGGGGAUGGAAUUCCGCGUGUAGCAGUGAAAUGCGUAGAUAUGCGGAGGAACACCAAUGGCGAAGGCAAUCCCCUGGGCCUGUACUGACGCUCAUGCACGAAAGCGUGGGGAGCAAACAGG
rnacentral:rRNA from 1 species